rfam:Mycobacterium wolinskyi strain CDC_01 Contig_11, whole genome shotgun sequence.
CGCGUUCGCGGCGGCGGAGGUCGACCGCCGUCUGCGGUGGUCGUCGACGACAUCGACGCGCACCGCGACCGGUUCGGGGUCGACCCGAUCUGCGCUGUGCCCACCGAGCACGGUACGCCGAUCGCCCCG